AUACUUACCUGGCAGGGGUGAUACCAUGAUCAGAAAGGUGGUUUGCCCAGAGCGAGGCUCAGCCAUUGCACUUGGGCUGUGCUGACCUUUGCGAAUUCCCCAAAUGCGGGAAUCUCGACUGCAUAAUUUCUGGUAGUGGGGGACUGCGUGCGCACUCUCCCCUG
rnacentral:snRNA from 1 species